rnacentral:rRNA from 1 species
UACGGGGGGGGGCAAGCGUUGUUCGGAAUUACUGGGCGUAAAGGCUCGUAGGCGGCCAACUAAGUCGGAUGUGAAAUCCCCAGGCUCAACCUGGGAAUGCAUCCGAUACUGGAUGGCUUGAAUUCGGGAGAGGGAUGCAGAAUUCCAGGUGUAGCGGUGAAAUGCGUAGAUAUCUGGAGGAAUACCGGUGGCGAAGGCGGCAUCCUGGACCGAGAUUGACACUGAUGAGCGAAAGCCAGGGGAGCAAACGGG